UCUCUGGUGGCUCAGACAUUAGAGCAUCUGCCUGAAAUGUGGGAGACCCAGGUUCGAUCCCUGGGUUGGGAA
rnacentral:tRNA from 1 species